GCAUGCAGUCGUGCGCGAAAGUCUUCGGACGAGUAAAGCGGCGAAAGGGUGAGUAACACGUAACCAACGUACCCCUCAGAUUGGGAUAACCACUGGAAACGGUGGGUAAUACCGAAUGGUCCUACAGCUAGGCAUCUAGUUGAUGGUAAACGGUGGCUUCGGCUGCUGUUGAGGGAGCGGGUUGCGGCCUAUCAGCUUGUUGGUGAGGUAACGGCUUACCAAGGCGAUGACGGGUAGCGGGUCUGAGAGGAUGAUCCGUCACACUGGGACUGAGACACUGCCCAGACUCCUACGGGAGGCUGCAGUCGAGAAUCUUCCACAAUGGACGAAAGUCUGAUGGAGCGACGCUGCGUGUAGGAUGAAGGCCUUAGGGUUGUAAACUACUGUCACGCUAUAGGAACCCGUAGUCGUUAAUAGCGGCUGCGCUGACCAAAGCGAAAGGAAGUGCCGGCUAACUCCGUGCCAGCAGCCGCGGUAAUACGGAGGGCGCAAGCGUUGUUCGGAAUCACUGGGCAUAAAGAGCAUGUAGGCGGUCUUUUAAGUCGGAUGUGAAAGCCCUCGGCCCAACCGGGGAACUGCAUUCGAUACUGAUUGACUCGAGGACAGGAGGGGUGAGUGGAACUUCAGGUGGAACGGUGAAAUGUGUAGAUAUCUGAAGGAACACCGGUGGCGAAAGCGGCUCACUGGCCUGUCUCUGACGCUGAGAUGCGAAAGCUAGGGUAGCAACGGGAUUAGAUACCCCGGUAGUCCUAGCCGUAAACGAUGGGCACUAGGCAUGGGAUUUCCCUAUGGUUCUC
rnacentral:rRNA from 1 species